AGAUGCGAUCAUACCAGCACUAAAGCACCGGAUCCCAUCAGAACUCCGAAGUUAAGCGUGCUUGGGUGAGAGUAGUACUAGGAUGGGUGACCUCCUGGGAAGUCCUCGUGUUGCAUUCC
rnacentral:rRNA from 1 species